rnacentral:rRNA from 1 species
UACAGAGGUCCCAAGCGUUGUUCGGAUUCACUGGGCGUAAAGGGUGCGUAGGUGGUGAGGUAAGUCGGAUGUGAAAUCUCCGAGCUCAACUCGGAAAUGGCAUUGGAAACUACCUUGCUAGAGGGUUGGAGGGGGGACUGGAAUACUUGGUGUAGCAGUGAAAUGCGUAGAUAUCAAGUGGAACACCAGUGGCGAAGGCGAGUCCCUGGACAACUCCUGACACUGGGGCACGAAAGCUAGGGGAGCAAACAGG